CAAAUCUGUUUCAGAGCACUUCCUGGAAGGGUAAUCCAAAUACAGCAUCAGGAGAAAAAGGAAAAUUACAUGCUGAAAGAGAAGAUCAAAAAGCUAGAGGCAAGAAUCCAAGAGCUCUUGGCUAAUGCGAUGGCCAUGCACCAACACUCUGAGGACAUCAAUGACCCUUCACAUUUGUCUGCUGUGCUGGAGAGAUACGAGAUGCUCUGGCUAUGGGAAUGGGAGAAAGUCAGGAGCUCCAUGCCCUAGUGUUGGAUGUAUGAAGAAGGAAGUUGCAUCAUUAGGGUUUGUUCAUGUCCAUUUUCUCCCUCUGAUUCUUAUCAGAUCAAUAUGGUGUAGCCAUAUAGCAGCCUUUGAGUAUUUGUACUUCUGUACUAGACAGGGUUGGGGCCUAAGUUUGGGCCCCAACUUUCCAGCUGAGCAGAGCCUGUGGAAUGCUGUUGAGAUCCUCCUGCUUUUCAGAAGGGCACACUCAAAUACCAGUCCCAUCUCCCACAGUGUUAAGCACAAGUGGGAAAAAAAUCCACUUUGCUUAUGUUAGUACUGGAACUGAUAGCUAGGAGACCUCAUUUUGAUGUCUGACUCACUACUGUGAUGCUGGAGAGAUCUGAAGGAAAAUACCGAAGCAGUAUUACCUUAAAGGACAAGAAUUGAGAAGUGGCUAUUAUUAGCAUUGAUUGUGAUGAUAAGACCCCACAGAUGAUGAAGAAUGGCCUCCAAUAUGCAAGCAGCUUAUGAAACAGUUUAUUUCACAGCUAUUGAAGACACAUCUCAAUCCAUUAGCAGCCCUACAAUUUACUCUAAUGCAGAUGUUUUCUCAGCAUAUGCUUUGCACACCUCACAUUUGGUUUCAUUGUGAUUGAUGCUGUAAUCAGUUGUUGUUUUUGCAAUGCAGAAGCUGUUUGAUGCCUGUGAGAAAGAUACACAAAAGAGAACAGAUGACAUACUUAAAGUUCUUGACCUUCCUCUUUGAAAUAAUGCUUUGACCAAGGUAUUUUAUAUUUCUGUGUAAAAGGGCCAUUGGCAUCUACCAUUCAUUUAGAAGUUUGCUUCUGCUAAGGACACUGCUCAAAAUCUGUCAGCAAUGAUUCUGGGGAUAACUUCUGAGCUCAGAGGGCUGGGGAUGUAGAAAGCCAAACUCUAGCAACCCUGGGUAUGAGACCAACACUGGAUAAAAACAGGUCUUUCUGUCUAAGAGUUAAGCUAUUCCACAAAGAAGCAGGGAGCUGGACUUGAGGAUCCUUGUGGGAGCCUUCCAAAAUGAAAUUAUUCUGUGUCCCGUGAUACACAGUCAUACACUGCAUAUCUGAAUUGUCCAGCCGGAUGAGGCACAUAUAUGAGUUCAGAAAGCAUUUUCCAGCCCUGAGUUGAUUUUAUAGCACCUUCCUCCAAAGCCUGACAUGAGUGACUUCUCCAUUACUGAUUGACCCAAUAUGAGAAACAAAAAAUCUCAGCGUUUGCCUUACCAUAUGAUAACAGCCUGCUUUGUGCGAUGAUUAUUCUGUAGGUGAUGAUGCGAGACGUAAUGAAGCUGUUCAGACAACACUAUCACCAAAACUCAAUGGUUUACAAGAAGAUUGUUCAAGAAGCUGCCAUUCACACAGGAACUGAAAAUGAAACACAGUUCCUGCUGCAGAGCUGCCAAAUUUAUUGUUUGCUGCUUCUUCAGGACCCACCAGUUAAAGCUGAAUGGAAGAUGAACAGAAGAUAUUUAGAGCAUGUGGACAAGGAAGAUGUAGUGCAUUGGAAAAAAACACCACUUCUGUGACCCAUAAUGAAAUGUGGGGAAGAAAUUAUUGUGAAAAGUGUAGUCUGAGAUCAAAGGAGAAUGACUUGAGAGUCGGGCUAAUUACUUACUUAGCCAUAAGAAGAUGAAAGAGCUGCUAUGCAAUACUCAGCUUUUCUUUCUCCCAUGAAUUGCCUACUUUCUAGAGCUAGUAAGUUGGACAUCCCUUGCUUGGGACACAUAGUAUAAAUCAUCAUUAACAAACCUGUAUUAAAAAAUUGAAGCUAUUCCAAUUGUGUCCUCACAAAGGCUGUCUGGCUGUUAGCACUCUGCUGCUUUCCCAUGUCUGUACAAUUUAUUUCUCCUGAAGUCCUUCAGCUACACACAUGCCACAGCUCUGGACCAAACAGCCCUAGAAGUUGUAUUCCAUGGCAUAAGGGGGAUGCAAUGAGACAAAUGCAUAUUUAUGUGAUUUUGUGUGACACAGUAUUCUGUAAGUAACUUGAGAAUUACCAAAUUAAAAAAUACUUCAAAAUCUGCUGUGUGCCUACCAAGUUCUUUUCUCCAGUUCUUCUUUGUAGUCCAUUAGUUUCCUUGGCUACACAAACUCCCUGUGAUUUUCUUGAUGGGCCCCCAGAAAGAAAGGCAAAUUUCUGUGCAGCUCUUGGCAAGCAAAAUGCUCUGCUUCACAUAGGAAUUCAGUAUUCCCUAAGCAUAUUGCAGGUCAGUGACAACAUGAGCUGGGAUCCUGGUGUGUGCAAGAAAAUUAGCUUUUAGAAAACUGGAGUAUUCUGAGAAACUGACUGUAAAAUACCUUUGUGAAAAAUAUGGGAUGUUAAUUCAUAUUCUUAUGGGUUAUGACAUAUUUAAACUAUGAAAAUCACUGUAUAUAUAUUAUAUGAGAAUAUGUUUCAGUCUGCCUUGAAAAUUUGCUAAGACAAAAAGCAGGCACCACCCUGGAAUUUAACAUUCAGAAAAGAGACAAAGGAUUUACGGGAAAACCAGCCGUCUCCUCAGCACCAGGAGAAGACACAUAAAGAUAAGCUAUCAGUCUUCUCUUCCCUGGAUGGCAGAGUCGUCAGAUCAUUAUCGUCAGCUAACACCCUCAUCGGAGCAUCGUAACACCACCAUUAGAGGAACAUCAUCAUCCACAUCUCCGGACAUGAACUUUUACCAUUCAUAAAUCUGGGCGUCAAUACACUCACGGGGAAACCAAGAACCGACACCUCGCAGGAGAGAAGGAACUCUUUUCAGCUAAGCCGGAGACAACUAUGAAUUUGAAUAACUUACUUGGACACAAAGGGACUAUGAGGAAAUUUUUGCCAGAGGCGGAAUCAAGUGUAUAAAAACUAAGCCCCGAACAAGGCCAAUUCGUGAGCCUAGGGGGGAUGGCAGUCAGCCAGGUACUGCAUCCCGGUUCACCCUUGACAUUUUCCCAGGUAAAAAUAGCCAAGUAUCUCCGCUGUGGGUGGUUUUGCCGAAAUUCUGUAAUUCGAUCUUUUUUUUUUGUUAAUAAACCAAAAUUAUAAUUUUAAUUGGAAAAUUGUAUUGGCAUUUAUAACACCUUCAUUAGGAAUAUCUAUUAUGGAAUAGAACAGGUGGAGUAAAACUACAUAUGUACCAUAUUUUCUACAACUUUCACAAAAAGAAAGAACUACCAUAGUUAGUUUCUCAUACCUUUUAAAAUGUUGCAGACUCAGAUGAAAGUGUAUUAAUAUUUCAUUUUUCUAGGCUGUAGAAGGUAAAUGACAGGGAAGUUGUCCAGGCAAGUAGAAGUUUCAGCAUGACCCUGAGUCAAUUGCCAUGUGAUUAUACAAGAGUAGUACUACACAUUUGGCAAGCUGACAUGCUCUAUUUGUUACCUGCUUAUAAAAAUUUUAGCCUAAAUUUUUUGUAGCUCCCUGAGUCUGUCUGAUCCUAUGCUGUGCAUCAGUUUUAUCUCUGAAGCUCAUCACUUCUGCAUCUCCUCACGUGUGUCCUUUCCUCUAAUUUUUCUCUCCUUAAUAUCAUUUUUGCUAGGCUAAAAUACUCAUGUUGCAAAGACUGAUUUAAAAAUCUUCAGAAGGCUAAAAGGCCUAGGGUUCAGCAGUCCUGAAACAGUGACCAAACCACUAAAAUCAGAGGAUUUUUAACUUCUCACUACAAACCAGGUACUUCCUCCAUUAGCAACAAAGAUGCACUGACUGCCACUGCGCAGUGUCUCUGUGAAUCAAAUUCCCCUAUUGCCAGACUCACAUCUCCUGGUGUAAAGGACAACAUCUAGCUUGUUGCAGACAGGUAGAGAUACUAUAAAAAAAAGUCUUUAUAAAAUAUGGUUUAGGCCCUGCUACUCUAGCUAAGCUAGAGGUAGCUUGUAAGUUCACAUAAAGAAAAAUUAUAAGAAUGAACGCAACAACCUAUUCUCAGAGAGGAAAAAUAAGUUUGCACCUGCAUAAAUAAUGAAUCUGUCCAGUGAGAAUCAGUGAAGAAAAUAUGUAAACAUAUCUAGAGAGAGAAAAUUUGAUAGACAUAUACAAUAGCCCUUACCAACCAAUGAACUGAGUUUUACGUACUGCUGACCAGUUAGGUUUAACACAGUGCUUCUUGAUAUUUCCUGUAAAUAUGAGCUUUGUGAAUAAAGAAUUGGCUUUUCUGCAUGAGAAGACUGAGUCCCAUCAGCUUAUUUACUACACUAGCCCGUGAUCCAACACAGCUUCUUUUCCCAGCUCUAGAUGGGACAUUUUAAAUCAGAUGCUGUAUCACAUACCAUACCAAGCCUAAUAUGAUGUCCUGAUGUCCUUUACAUAAUUUCCUAGGAAAUAUUUUAACAGUAAAUUGGUGUGAGAUGGGGAAAUGGUCUCCUCUGUUCUGAUUUCCCUAUUGUGGGGUCUCAGCAGAUGGAGGAGACACACUUAAGGAAUCUGCCUCUGGGCAGGCCUGAAAGCUUUCCAGCAUACUGGGACAAGAAGCCCUUUGUAGAGAUCCCUACACUCAGAGAUCUCUUUGCUGUUGCUUACACUUUUCCCACUCUCCCAGCCGCAAGGAGGGAGGCAGAGGCCUGGCCCUGGGCCCUUUAUGGAACAAAUAUUUGACUUCUCAUCCACAGCUCAGAGAAGGAACCACGAAGAACCUGUGAAAAUUGAGCUACAGCUUGUGUCUAACAGGAAGAGCAAAACAAUCAGAAACCCAGAGAGAGGAAGUUCCUGAGGUUUAAACCCUUCCUUUUCCACAACAGCAUGACUCAUGCCCCUAAUCAGCCUCCCACAGAGACUUAACAUGAGAAGGUUGGGAACCUGCAGAGGGAAGGGAGGCUUUCACUGAAGGAAUGUCUGUGCAGGCUUGGAAUUCUUCGCCUGGACAAAAAAGGACUUCAGGGAUCACAGGUGGAAGAGAGGGUCGGUGGCAGCUACACAUGCACUCUUCAGCUUCAGUUGCAAGAACUAGGCUGAUGGAAGCAAAAUGAACAGGAGGUUGUGGUUCACCACAAAGCAGAGAUUGGAGGUACUGCCUGAAGGUAUCAAGGCUGCACAAACAGCAAGCACUAAGGUUGGUGGGGUGACUGGAAGUGACCUCCACAGAGGUCCUUGCAGGUUACUGGCUAGGUGGCCCUCUAGUCUGGAACCACUUGGGCUGCUCUUAAAGUCAUAUGAAUUUGCUCAAACAGAUGUUGCCUGUUGGUUUUGCAACUGCAAAACAAACGUCACACAUUACCCACCCCAUCGCCUCAGCUUGAUCAAGUACCUCAACAGCUGCAGAAAGGCAAUGCAAAAAAAAAAGGGCUGUAUUUUGUGUACCUUCACUUAUAGUGCUGCAGUCAUGUGCCACCCUGGAGCUUGAUCAAGCACCAGUGCCCAACCAAGCAGGGACCUGGCAUCACUGCUGGUAUGACUUUAGGAAAUCAGUGCUGUAGGAGCCUGAGCCUGUGCAGCCACCUCAGCUGCACAAGUCUCCUCUGUGUUGUCCCCGGCAGCUCCCACAUUGUUGAGGUCCAGGAGCUUCCCCACAGGAGCUUUCCCUUGGAUCUCACAUGGAAUGUGCUUGGGUCGCCAGCUCCACAGUAACACAAUGGGUGCUGCAGCAUGCAUGGCAAUGCCUCAGGGUUACUGCAGCUCAGGAUGCUGUGCUGGGGAGACAGCAGAAAGGGAACAGCAGGGGUGCGAAGGAGUCACAAGUGAAUCUCGUGACAGAGCUGCAGGCGGAAGCAAAACUGCAUUUUUGAAAAGCUGUGGCUGUGAUGGGCUGCACACAGGCAUUUUGAGGGAGGCCCAACAGCACUACGGCCCACGGUGAGACACAGAGCCACAGUCAUGCAGGUCAUGACAGGGCAGGACCCUAGGAGCUCACCGCUGCCCGAGAUGCACAAGGUACCAUUUCCCUUUCCCUCCCGGCUUGAUUUUAAAAGGCGUAAUUGCUCCCUUAGAAGAAAUGGAAUUGCUUCCUGCACACACGUGAAAUAUUAGGCAAGUUUGGUGAAUUAUUUCUAAGUCUCCUGAAAACCCUUAGGGCACCUCAGCGAACAGAGAAAAAAAAUCCCAUAGGUUAAGAUAUUUCUGAUCUCUAAACCGACCGGAAUUCCUGUUAGAAAUGUGACAAGGAAGACGGGGA